UACAGAGGUCUCAAGCGUUGUUCGGAUUCAUUGGGCGUAAAGGGUGCGUAGGCGGCGCGGUAAGUCGGGUGUGAAAUCUUGGAGCUUAACUCCGAAACUGCAUUCGAUACUGCCGUGCUUGAGGACUGGAGAGGAGACUGGAAUUUACGGUGUAGCGGUGAAAUGCGUAGAUAUCGUAAGGAAGACCAGUGGCGAAGGCAAUCCCCUGGGCCUGCACUGACGCUCAUGCACGAAAGCGUGGGGAGCAAACAGG
rnacentral:rRNA from 1 species